CUCUAGUCCAGUUCAUUCACUUUCUGGCUGUAGACAUUGAGGCUCCAAAAAGGUUUUGACUCCAACACCUGCACUCCAACAACUUCAUUUGCUGUGACGGGAAAGACUAGUAAGGGACAAAGGAAAAGGACACGACUUGGAGAGCAACUGACAAAUACCAGGAGCUUUACUUUGGAAUAUUAUGCUAUGAUUUGAAUGUAUCCACCCAAAAUACAUGUGUUGGAAACAAUCCCCAAUGCAAAAAUAUUGGUGGUUGUGACCUAAUGAGAAGUGUUUAUGUCAGGAGAGCUUCACUCUCAUGAAUAAACUAAUGCCAAUUAUAAUAGGGCUUGAGGCUGCAAGCUUAA